UACGGGGGGUGCGAGCGUUGUCCGGAAUCACUGGGCGUAAAGGGCGCGUAGGCGGCCCGCACAAGUCUGCGGUGAAAACCCCCGGCUUAACCGGGGGCCGGCCGUGGAAACUGUCGGGCUGGAGGCUGGGAGAGGGCAGCGGAAUUCCCGGUGUAGCGGUGAAAUGCGUAGAGAUCGGGAGGAACACCGGCGGCGAAGGCGGCUGCCUGGACCAGUCCUGACGCUGAGGCGCGAAAGCUAGGGGAGCAAACAGG
rnacentral:rRNA from 1 species